AGAGAGAGACAUGCGCGCAUAUCAAUAAGCGGAGGAAAAGAAACUAACAAGGAUUCCCCUAGUAACGGCGAGUGAAGCGGGAAGAGCUCAAAUUUGAAAUCUUAAAGGGUUUCCCUUUACGAAUUGUAGUUUAAAGAAGUGUUUUCUGUUGAGGUUUUGGUAAAAGUUCUUUGGAAUAGGACAUCAUAGAGGGUGAGAAUCCCGUAUUUGACCUUUACUUUCAACUUUGUGAUACACUUUCAAAGAGUCGGAUUGUUUGGGAAUGCAGUCCAAAAUGGGUGGUAAAUUUCAUCUAAAGCUAAAUAUUGGCGAGAGACCGAUAGCGAACAAGUACCGUGAGGGAAAGAUGAAAAGAACUUUGAAAAGAGAGUUAAACAGUACGUGAAAUUGUCAAAAGGGAAGCGUUUGACACCAGUGUUGUUUUUCUGAAAAUCAAUUAAAGAACUGUUUAUGCUAAGUUGUUUAGACUUUAUCAGCUAACUGUUUAGUUUUGAGCUUUUCUUUAAUGCACUUUUUCAGUUAACAAGUCAACAUCAAUUUCCUUUUGCUGUAAAAAAGCUUGAGGAAGGUGGCUUGAGAUUCGUCUUAAGUGUUUAUAGCCUCUUGCCUAUGCAGUCGGAGAGAUUGAGGUCUGCAGCGUAGAUCCUUCGGGGCUAAAUGCAUUUGUGCUAAGUUAUAGCAUUUUAUAGACAACUUGUUGACUAUGAUUUGUCUUGUAGCUUACUCGCUUAUGUUAUUUUACCUACGCUUAGGAUGUUGAGCGCAUGUCUCUCUCU
rnacentral:rRNA from 1 species